rnacentral:rRNA from 1 species
UACGUAGGGUGCAAGCGUUAAUCGGAAUUACUGGGCGUAAAGCGUGCGCAGGCGGUGAUGUAAGACAGAUGUGAAAUCCCCGGGCUCAACCUGGGAACUGCAUUUGUGACUGCAUCGCUGGAGUGCGGCAGAGGGGAAUGGAAUUCCGCGUGUAGCAGUGAAAUGCGUAGAUAUGCGGAGGAACACCGAUGGCGAAGGCAAUCCCCUGGGCCUGCACUGACGCUCAUGCACGAAAGCGUGGGGAGCAAACGGG